UAAAAUAAAACAGUAAAAAGGUAUGAAACGCAAUAUUAAUUGUCUAUUCUUAACGAACAAAUGAAAUAUUAAUUGUCCAUUCUUAUUGGACUAGUAUACUUUCUUGCAUUUAUGCAAUCUUCAGGUUCAUAUGGUUUUGGUAACGGUCAUGUUCAUUGGUUUCAACUGCACUAUUUUUUAUUCACCAUACGAGUUUAGACAGAGAGGACACUACAAUACAUUGGGGACACUACAACACAUUUUUUGUGUUCAUAUAUGGGCCAGUAUGAAAUUCGUGGAAGCAUUGUAUGUUGGACAUUGGCCCCAAGAAUAUAGCUACUCUGCCAAAAAUGAAGGAUCAGUCAAGAAGUACUGAACGUGGGUCUAAGAAGAUGCGUUCCUUUCGUAUUGUCCAAAGCGACUUUAUGUCCGCACCAGGACAGAAUUGUUCAGCUCCUGCUUUUAAUAGCAUUUCUGAAGUUUAAGGUAGUAUUGUUAAAUAUUUAGCAGCAAAUACAAAGAACAACUUAUUUUAUUUGGAUAUUUUUGGAGAAAUUCUUUAACAUAAUUAAAGUUCUCUUCCUCCAUUUUCUUCCUAAUCUUAUCAAACCUGCAUAAUUCAUAAAUGAUAAACACUAGAACCACACUCGCCGGUUGUUGCUUGUCUAUAUUUCACUGGGCAUCUUUAGAUUGCUUUGAUUCAAUUCAAUUUUUAUUGGUUCAGAAAGCAAAAGCAAGGCCAUGUAGUGGGACAGGGAGGGUGGUCAUACAAAGAGUUCAGGCCAUUUCUGGUCAAGGGAGACUUUGAACCGAGCGGUCGUCGGCAUCUUCACUAUCUCAUCUGGCAGCUUAUUUCAUGGAUCCGCAGUUCUCCUUAUCUUAUCCAGCUGCAGAAGUGAAUAAUUCGUAAAUGAUAAACAACAGAACUGCACUCGCCGGUUGUUGCUUGUCUAUAUUUCACUUCUCUUUUGCUUUUAGCAAAGCAUUAGAAGUAGAAGGAAGCUAAAAUGAUCCGACAAAGAGCUUAUAUAAUGAAUCACACUUAAACACAAACCGCUUGGAUUGUUUGAGUUCCUUUGUUUAAUGUUUCGUGGCAUCAUUUCUUUGACCUGCAACAAGGUCACAUUUUGCGUCACUCUAAAGCAGAAAAUGUUAUUGCUUCUGGAUGUGUUUUUAUUCCAUUUGUAACAUCUUCAAUGUCACGUUUGAUUUCUUGGAUGUCAUUAGAGUAAAAUAUUUGCCAGCCAAUACAAAGAGCAUCUUUGGAGGAUUUGGGAUAAAAUUAAGUCAUGUCAAUACCUGGUAUCUCUGAGUCUUUUAGUAAGUAUUAACAUUGAUCUUUUCAUCAGCUUUGUAGAAUUUUAUAGGCAUUUUCUUUCCAUCGGAAGCCACAACACCCGAAGCCAUAACUUGAGCUGGAUGUUUUGUUUUGAAUGUCGAUUUUGUGAUAAAUCUGUCAUUUGAAAGCUAAAACAAUGCGAUGUGUUUUUAUUCCGUUUCUGACAUCUUCAAUGUCACCUUUGAUCUCUUGGAUGUUAUUAUUGCAAAAUAUUUGCCAACCAAUACGGAGAGCAUUUUUGGAGGAUUUUGGAUAAAAUUAAGCCAUGUCAAUACCUGGUUUCUCUGAGUCUUUUAGUAAGUAUUAACAUUGAUCUUUUCAUCAGCUUUGUAGAAUUUUAUAGGAAUUUUCUUUCCAUCCGAAGCCACAACACCCGAAGCCAUAACUUGAGCUGGAUGUUUUCUCUUGAAUGUCGAUUUUGUGAUAAACCUGUCAUUUGAAGGCGAAAACAAUGCGAAGCGCACUGUGACCAGCGGUGUGUACCAACAUCUGAUAGCCUGGUCAGUCACGGUGAUAUAUAUAUAUAUAUAUAUAUAUAUAUAUAUAUAUAUAUAUAUAUAUAUAUACAUAUAUACACACACACACACACACAUACAAAGGGGUAUGUAUGAUUGUGUAUAGAAGAAUAUACUACUCAAAGGAAUUCCAACUCUGUUUUUCACAUUUUAUUUAUAAUCAUAUAAAAUAAAACAGUAAAAAGGUAUGAAACACAAUAUUAAUUGUCCAUUCUUAACGAACAAAUGAAAUAUUAAUUGUCCAUUCUUAUUGGACUAGUAUACUUUCUUGCAUUUAUGCAAUCUUCAGGUUCAUAUGGUUUUGGUGACGGUCAUGUUCAUUGGUUUCAACUGCACUAUUUUUUAGUCACCAUACGAGUUUAGACAGAGAGGACACUACAAUACAUUGGGGACACUACAACACAUUUUUUGUGUUCAUAUAUGGGCCAGUAUGAAUUAAUUGGCAUGUACAACACCGGUUAUCAUUGCCUAUAGACACAGUGAAUGGUUGGUCUUUGUUGCUAAGGCCAAACCUUGCCUUUGUUAAUAGCUUUUUCAAGCUUUUAGACUGUCUUUUACUAAGAGUUUAUAGUUUGGUCUGUAAUGAGAUCUUAAUUCCUUAUAUAUUAUGUGUGUAUAUAUAUAUAUAUAUAUAUAUGAGUGGAGAAACAAAAGAAGGGCACUCAAAUCAUUCAUUGGGAGUUACAUGUGUGGAUCAAAUUUGUUUCAUUUAGUUUCCUUUGUACUUCGAGUUUCAAAGCUUGAUGCUAAUUGUUAGCCCUUGGAAAUUUCUAAGAUUAGCGUCAUGUUUUGAAACUUGAAGUACCAAGAAAUUUGAAUAAAAUUGUUUUCAUCCCCUUAUAUAUAUAUUUGCUGUUUUUAAAUAAAUGUCCAGUUCCUUUGGUUUGUGUCUAUGUUUCCGUUUCUCUUUGUGUUCGACGUCCCUUUGGUGUCCUGUACUCAUAUAUGCGUGUAUAUAUGUACAUGUAGAGGUAGGUACGUACAUAUAUGUUUAUAUAUAUGCAUAUGUUUUAUUUCAUUUAUUAAUAUAUAUAUAUAUAUAAAUUAGAGAUAAAGCCACUAUUAGGCAACUCAAACAGUG
rnacentral:lncRNA from 1 species